rnacentral:rRNA from 1 species
GAGUUUGAUCAUGGCUCAGAUUGAMCGCUGGCGGCAUGCCUUACACAUGCAAGUCGAACGGCAGCAUGAUCUAGCUUGCUAGAUUGAUGGCGAGUGGCGAACGGGUGAGUAAUACAUCGGAACGUGCCCUGUAGUGGGGGAUAACUAGUCGAAAGAUUAGCUAAUACCGCAUACGACCUGAGGGUGAAAGUGGGGGACCGCAAGGCCUCAUGCUAUAGGAGCGGCCGAUGUYUGAUUAGCUAGUUGGUGGGGUAAAGGCCCACCAAGGCGACGAUCAGUAGCUGGUYUGAGAGGACGAUCAGCCACACUGGGACUGAGACACGGCCCAGACUCCUACGGGAGGCAGCAGUGGGGAAUUUUGGACAAUGGGCGAAAGCCUGAUCCAGCAAUGCCGCGUGUGUGAAGAAGGCCUUSGGGUUGUAAAGCACUUUUGUCCGGAAAGAAAUGGCUCUGGUUAAUACCUGGGGUCGAUGACGUACCGAAGAUAKUUGA